UACGAAGGGGGCUAGCGUUGCUCGGAAUCACUGGGCGUAAAGGGUGCGUAGGCGGGUCUUUUAAGUCAGGGGUGAAAUCCUGGAGCUCAACUCCAGAACUGCCUUUGAUACUGAAGAUCUUGAGUUCGGGAGAGGUGAGUGGAACUGCGAGUGUAGAGGUGAAAUUCGUAGAUAUUCGCAAGAACACCAGUGGCGAAGGCGGCUCACUGGCCCGAUACUGACGCUGAGACGCGAAAGCGUGGGGAGCGAACGGG
rnacentral:rRNA from 1 species